rnacentral:rRNA from 1 species
GACGAACGCUGGCGGCGUGCCUAAUACAUGCAAGUCGAGCGCAGGAAAUCGACGGAACCCUUCGGGGGGAAGUCGACGGAAUGAGCGGCGGACGGGUGAGUAACACGUAAAGAACCUGCCCUCAGGUCUGGGAUAACCACGAGAAAUCGGGGCUAAUACCGGAUGGGUCAUCGGACCGCAUGGUCCGAGGAUGAAAGGCGCUCCGGCGUCGCCUGGGGAUGGCUUUGCGGUGCAUUAGCUAGUUGGUGGGGUAAUGGCCCACCAAGGCGACGAUGCAUAGCCGACCGGAGAGGGUGAUCGGCCACACCGGGACUGAGACACGGCCCAGACUCCUACGGGAGGCAGCAGUAGGGAAUCUUCCACAAUGGACGAAAGUCUGAUGGAGCAACGCCGCGUGAACGAUGAAGGCCUUCGGGUCGUAAAGUUCUGUUGUAAGGGAAGAACAAGUGCCGCAGGCAAUGGCGGCACCUUGACGGUACCUUGCGAGAAAGCCACGGCUAACUACGUGCCAGCCGCCGCAGUAACAC